rnacentral:lncRNA from 1 species
AGCUAAUUGGGGCGAUAACUAUUUGCUGUGCUGUAGGAGAUUACCAAGAGGGUUAACUGCUGAGCCCAGGUUUUCAGAAGGGCACUGAACUCUUCCAGGGCCUGCUCCAGUUGAGCCACUUGGCCUGAGAAUUCCUGCUCCGAAAGGGCCAUCUGGCUGACCAGGUUCUCCAAACAGCUCUGCGUUUGGAAUACACUGUCUUCCCACUGCUUCCAGUCGGCACGCAGGGCCUGCAUCUCCGUGUGCAUGAGCUCACACCCACUGGCAGUUGUGUUCUGUUUCACUUCGGGAGCCAGCGACUCCACUCUGCUGAGACGGCUUGCACCAAUCUCUCUGGAAUCUAUCAGCUCCUGUAAUGGAAUAUCACCAUGGUAACUGAAGAGCCUGUGAGUCACUUGGACUGCAAGUUUUCAACUGUGUACACAGGGGGACCCUGUCCUGCUAGGAAGUUUUAACAAGUGUGCCACAAGGACCCAGAAUCAAUUCAUCUGUCCACUCUUAAAUUAUAAUAGCGGGAGUUGUCAUCACCAGCGCCUAAGGCUUAUGGCAAAA